rnacentral:lncRNA from 1 species
GCUUAAAUAGGCGGCCAAAGUCGGUUCAACGGUGCGAGAGGAUAAGCACAGGGACGACGACCAUUAUUGCAACAAAGGGGAGGUGUGGACCUGGUCAGAGGGGUUUGACGGGGAAGACGACACAGUUGUGGAUGAGCACGACGUCCUGGUGGUAGUGGGGUGCACCAGGUGGCUUGAUCGGGGCUAGGCACAGUAGGCAGCGACGGCGGCUAGAGCUCAGGCACGGCAGGGGCUGCAGCGCAUGGUAGUGGCGGCAGCAGGACCGGAAGCAUGCUAUCGAUGCAGAGGGGGUCCCAAAGGCUAGCUCGCGCUCGGCCAGAGCUCGUGCGGCGCUGGCCAUGGCAGGAGCAGACGUGACUGCAGGUGUGCUGCCAGGGAGCUAGCUGCGGUGGCACUCUGAGUGUGCCAGAGCACGGCAGUGCCUCUUCAGGCUUGGAGGGGUUCUGGGGUGGCUCUACAAGCGUACACGAGCUAGUCUGCGGGGUUUAGUGGGACCCGGCGGCUCGUACGCGCAGGCCGCAAAAGGCGCGCUCCGGGCGCGCUCUAGGCAUGCACCCACGGUGCUUGACAGAAAGCCUGGCAUGGUUACAGGGUUCGAGUGCUCACCAAAAUCACCAGAGUGGGGUUGCUCGUCAAGCCAAACAUCCUAGACAUCCUGGCUGGGCUAGUUGAGCAACUCUACAAUGCACACAAAAGUGCAUGCCAAAUCAGUACAUGAACUCAAGGUGUUCGACAUAAUGUCAAGGGCACCCAGGGAGCUCCUCUCGCCACAAAAAUUACCAGGUAAAGGUCUCCUUAGGUGUUAGUUAUGAUGGUCAAGUUAGUAUGGCAAAAAGUUAAACUUGUUAGUUCAAAGAUGUGAGAAAGUCAAUUCUGGUCAGCAAGUUAAGACUAUUAUUACAAGCAUGUAACAUCCUCCAAUGGUGCUCAAAUCAUGGACUUAAGGUUUUGGUAGGGUGUGCUAGAAGCAUGAAAAAUCUAAGGGCAACUAGAUCAAAGAAAAACAUGGUUGUAGUACAAAGUACCAAACUGCACUAGAACAGAAAAGAAGAUAAUGUGCUCAAUUUUUUUUGACACGGAAUGUGCUCAAAUUUUCAAAGACACUUGGAUAAGUUUUUACAUAAAUAUAAUUUAGGGACAUCACAUGUCACCUACAAAUUUUUGUAUAAUUAUUAGAGGGAGAUAUCAAAAGGUUGAAGUGUAAAAGAGGGCCUUAAGGAAAUUAAGAGUCAUUUUUGAAUAAAAGAAACCUUGGAAAAAAUAUUUACGAAAAGGUUAUCCAAUGAAUUUGUGAGAAGAAAAGAAAUGUUUUGAUGCAAGCACUCAAGUCCCAACAUGAUUUUCAAAAACUUCUACUUGAAGGAGAACUUUAUAAUUAGGGAAAAGGAGUGGUUCUAAAAUCAAUUGAAAACCCAGAAAUUCAGAUUUUAAAUAGACAUGGCCAAAUUAAAAAGAAUAUUCCCAUUAAAUAAGUAAUUAAAAUGAUCUCAAGUAAGGACUCAAGCACUAAAUGAUAUUUAAAAUGCCACUUGAAAAGAAAAGUUUUUGGAAAGAGGCUUUGAAAAGAGUAGCGAAGCAAAUUAUUUCUCAAAAAUUAUAAUCUAGGCAAUAUUUUAGUUUAUAAAAAUAUGAUUAAAUUUUUGGGGUGUGACAGACACUACCCCCUUAAAAAUAAAUAUCGUCCCGAGAUUUUCUAAGGGAAAGAAAUUAAUCCACUCAUGUAAACUCAGUGCAUGAUCAUUCAAAUGCACGCGCAACAAGGCAAUCAUAUAGCACACAGUCACUCAUAUGAAGGUGCAAAAUAGAAAAACGAUUAUAAUUUACACCAUCACUCAUAUAGCAUUAAGGAAAGCAUGUUACUGGACUAACGUACACUCCGAGGACGGUCAACGAGGUACGGGCAAGGGGAUUCCGAGAAAAUAUUCUUAGUCGGGGUAAACACAUUCUACUUCUCCUAGAAGGAGUCCGAAGAACGUGCCCCUUUGGUCUGGCAACAACGGCCUACCCAGGGACACUCUGGAAAUUUUUCCCCAUUGCAAGGGUGGGAACAUUAACCCACUGGCUGCUGGGUCAACGCUCUUCAUGACGACAUAUAGAACAAAGGAUGGGCACGCAUGGCCUGCUCUACCCUGGGCUGCGAGGCAACAAGGUCUCUGUUGUGCGGUUGCAUCCAGUCAUCCCGAAUGAAUCCCAAUGGGCAGCCAUAAGAAAAGCUCGUUGUGCGGCAGUGCACUAAGUGAGAAGUGCUAGGAGAGGUCGCGAUUGUGGUCUCAGUGGGGUGCCUGAUUUUUGGGCACACAGUAUAACACUAGUGUGACCUGGUUCAUUGGGGGUGGAAACUCGGGUAACAACUCCCAAGUGAUACAUCACUCGGGUAGCUGGUCAGGUGGCUAGGUGGUCACGCCCAAAAAUUUAUCUUAAGGCCAUGCGGACUGGUCUACGCAAUUCUACCUUUAAAAACAGGGGCGCGCAGGCACCUUGCAUUUUAUUUAACAUAGCUUUAUUACAAACACGUGAAUACAAUGUUACACGAUAACGUCGUUACUAGGGCUUGAUAGCUACUCUGGCGGACUCGCUCCGCCUUCGUUGGCCUCUGAGUGGACGUGCUUAGUAACCAAUAAGGUUCCUUCAUUUUCCAUGGUUCCAGAGUUGACUGGGCCAUGGAACGGGGUUGCAGGGUUGCUGUGGCAACGAUGUCUCGGACGGCGCGCCCUUGGCACAACUUCAUUACAGAAGGCAUCCAAGCUGCGGUGAAGCUCUACCGGGUUCAUGCUUGGGCUGGGUAACAUAAGGGUUGGUGCAGACCUCAGGGAUCCGAUAGUUCCCCCAAUCAAUAUGGGCUGGUUGCUGGAGGCGGUUGCAGCUUCACUGCUUGUCGGGGUCCGGCGAGCUAGUGACGUGCGGUUCACGACCAGAUAAAGGUGAGAUGAUCGAUUAGUGCCUCCUGCGCUCUCAAAUAGCGCACAACCUCCACCAAUGUAGGGUCUGCCUCAAGGUCUUCGCUAGCCACAUGGGUCGGACUACCAUAGCCUUCACGACUAGGAUAAUAGCAGAACGGUCGGCUAUUCAUCCAUGGUGACAAAUGUCGUAGCUGGACUAUAUCUUCUCGGGUUGCAAGUUGACGGGCUUGGGCUUCUCUGGCUGCUGAUCUACAAGUGAAAUGGUAAAGACAUUCAAGCGUGGAAAUCCCUCCAAGGAUGUGCACUGAGGCCCAAAAGUGACGGGUAGCAUCACUCACAGGUUCCUCAUGCAUAAUAUACACUGGGGGCUAUUCUAUGCCAAAGACUUGGCGGUUGAGGUCGGCGAGAAUGGCUACGAAUUCUCCAGCCUCGGAUGUGGUGGUCUCAUUGCAUAGAAUGCGGCUAGGCAUCUCGUCGGCUGGUUUUAUUGGGGAGUCACAAGGUUGCGGUCUGCUGGGUUGACGCAAGGCCUUCCUAUAUAGGCUAGGGAGUCUUCUAUCGCAUGAUAGGGAAUGCGACAACUCCGAUGUCAGUCAUAGACACACAACUUAAGGGUUUUCCUAACAAAGUUAGUCACCGACUGCCAAAAGGUGUCGGAUGGCAACUCUCGUUGGCUAUUGGUUAGGCUAGGCUGGGUUGUGGAUAUAUAAAUAUACAGGUUCGGGAUAGCGACCUCGCUAAGAUAGGUUUAGCCAAUGGUCAUCCAGGCUUUGAUACCAAGAUUGUAGCGACCGAUUUUUUGGAAAAAUAAUUUCCAGAAAACAGGCCUUCCGGCUCACCAGCCCCAGGACUACUGUUAGCUGAUGGACACUCACUUGAUACAGAAAUCCCAAGAAAAUUACAAAAUCUGGGUUACCAGACCAUAAAGGUCCACUUGCUUGGACAAGGUUUGGGACUGACGGCAUAAGCGACUCGAGGAAUCUCCAGCACCCAUGGGACUCCAUUCCCAUAGGAACAACUGACCUGGUUAAAUUCCUCUUUCGCAAGGCUUAUAUCCUCGAGUGCUAGGUUCCGAGGUUGACGGUAUUGUGCUCCUCUCUGAAAGCAAUCUGGCCAAGACAAUAGCUAGGGACAAGCAAGUGAGUACUUUGAAUGUACUCGCAAACAUCAAGAAAAAUAUAAGUCAAAGCAGGUCAGAUGCAUGCAUAAUCCAUUUAAUAAUUCUAUCAUGCCCUAAGAAUUAAUUAACAGAUGUAUUUAUGCAGAUAAAACAUUUCCACCAAUGUUGUAUAAACAUCAAGGAAGGGUAACAGUAAAUUAUAAGCUUGUCAGUCGGGCGUCUGAGGCGACAGCUCGGAAGGACAAGAAAGUACAAGCCAGAGUUAGGCGUUUGAGCGACACCACAGAAUGGGCAUAAUAUAACCCAUACUUGCCAUAGUCGAGCGUCUGAGCGACUCCACAGAAAGGGCAUAAUAAAAUAAUUACUUGCGACAGUGGAGCGUUUGAGCGACACCACAUAAAGGCUUAUAUGAAAGUAGCAACAGUUGCCACAGUCAGACGUCUAAGCGACACCACAGAAAGGGAAUAAUAAAAUAAUAAAGAUAUCGAGUAUCCAGGAGGUAGAACCGUCCCAGCGAUACUCCAACAAAUCCAUAUACCACAAAUGAUUAGUCCAUCACAUAAUUCAUAAUACUUAUCAUCUCAGUUCACAUUCAUCAUCCUGUUGAAGUUUCAAUUCCUCCAAAGGCCGACACUUAGGCCGGCACUUGACUAGUCAACCCAUUGUCCUUGGCCUUUGACACAGCUACUCAAAUAGUUUUAACUGUGCAUAGGGUGUACUCCUUACCCACAACCCACGGGUUUCAAUACUCACUCGGACUAAUUUCGCGUAUAGUAUUUUAGAAGUAAACACUCAAAACCAGUACACAUCCAUUUUUCCGCCGCGGUGACAGGCCUUACCCGGGCUACGCUAUCAGGGAAAAACCAUAAGACGGGGAGGCUCCAACCUAGACUAGCAUGGGAUCAAAUUUAUACCGCGUGCUAUAAGGGAAGAGCUCUUCCCUCUCGAUUCCAGACCAGAAACACCCAUGCCCCCUGACUGGAUGACUGGAUUUAGUCCAGGGCCAUGGAUACCUUCAUCCCAGCCCCUUUACUUGGUGUGUACAUAGUAAUAGGUUUACGACUUACUAAACCAUAUUCCCCUUUGGAAAGUCUUGUGGAAGCACGAAAGGUAAGGUGACAUACUGACAAGACCCACCUUUGCAUCACAUAUAUUCACCAACAAAAUAUCCAUCACAUGCACUGAUGCAAAGCAUGACUAUAUGCAAGAGUUUUUUUAUCAACAUAACGGAAUCAUGCAUUCCAAUGCAUCACAACAAAAAUCACACAUCUUAGCACAAAUUAGGGCUCAAGAUGCUUGCCUUUGGAGUUGAGGAGAGUGGUGUGCACCCCAAAAUCUUGAAGGAUGUUUUCUCUCUCCAAAUUCCAUUUAAAAAAAAUACCAUUCAACAAAAAAUUCCAAAACAGCACACAAAAGUUGUUUUAAUUUUUUUGAAAUAAAUUGGUAAAUAAAUUAGAGGAAAUUUUAAAGAGGUAGGAAAAAUAAUCAAUUAAUUUGGAGUUUUAUUAAAAAAGUUGUGGUCAGUCAAAGUUUCUGGUCAAACCUGAUUUUUAAAUCAAUUAUAAAAGAAAAAGUUUCGCUAAGAAAUACGAUUUCCAACACAGAAAACACGUUAACUGAAACACUACGGGUUAAUUACGUUUUCUUAAGGCGAAGGCGUACCUUCUAGUAUGCGCCUCCUCUCGAGGAAAACGUACUGGCGUGGUUACGCCAUCAGGACCGGGGCUUGCCUCGCUGAUAGGCGGGGCCUGCUUGUUGGGUUUCCCCUUCCUCCUCUCACGCACGAAAUAGGGUCACAGGCGAGCUCCGACGACGCUCGCCGGCGUUAGGAGGCUUCUCUCCCGGAUCUGAGCACACCAGUGUGUUAAGGGGUGAGGACCCCAUCCUCUGGAUAUCACACGGGCUUCUGAGGAGGUCGGGGGCGAGUGCCCUUUCAUCCACGGCGGACCGUGAACUCCGGCGAGCACGACAUCGACUUGUGGUUGCCUUGGCACAAUUAAAUAGAUGGAACGGGUUCUGGGAGCGAUAGAGGAGCUAGCCGAAGCUAUAGUGGGCUAAAAAGGGAUGUGGGUUGCCGGAAUUGGCCGAAGGUUUGCUCAUGGCAGUGGCGGCCGACGGUGACGAAAUUGAGCACGGGGGCUCGAUUGCUUUGGCAGGGAGGCUACUUGGGAUGGUGCGGGUGGCUCAGUGACCUUGCUAGAGGCUUAAAUAGGCGGCCAAAGUCGGUUCGGCGGUAUGAGGGGAUAAGCACGGCGGCGGCGACCAUUAAUGCAGCACAGGGGAGGCGGGGACCUGGUCAGAGGGGUUAUACGGGGAAUAUGACAUGGUUGUGGAUGAGCACGACGUGUUGGUGGUCUUGGGGAGCGCCAGGUGGCUUGACCGGGGCUGGGCACAAUAGGCGGCACCAACGGCUAGCGCUCGGGCGCGUCAGGGGCUGCAGCGCAUGGAAUGGCGGGUGUAAGACGGGAAGCAGGCCAUCAAUGCAGAGCGG